rnacentral:lncRNA from 1 species
UUUCUUCAAACAACUACAGCGCCUCCUUCUUCUUCUUUUUCUUAUUUUCUCUCUAACCCAAAGAAACACUACACCUUCUCUCUACCUCUCCAACAAAUAUAAUACACAUAUGCAAAAACAAAGAACAGAUCUAAACUUCUCUCAUCAUCCUCUUCAAUUCUAUGUAAUUGAGACAACAAAGUGGUGUAUUUGAAAAAAUGGGUCAUCCUCUUCAAUUCGUCCAUCCCUUCUGUUUUUUUUUUUUUUUCUUCUUUCACUUUUCAGUUUAUUGAACCGGUCCGGUUCAAAAAACGGUCGAGUCACCGGUUUUUACCGGUUUUCGCCGAUCCAUUAAGCUGCUCGAACCGGACAUACCACCGGUUCCCGGUCUGACCGGUCCGACCGGCCGGUCCGGUCCGGUUUUUAAAACUAUGGGUUUAGUAUGGGAAUGGAUAGUUUUUUCCUAUGAUGGAAAAGUUGUACUUUUAAUUAUUGAUUUAAUAAUUUUUUAUUUGAUUGGCCAAGAUUAA